rnacentral:rRNA from 1 species
CCUACGGGAGGCAGCAGUGAGGAAUAUUGGUCAAUGGCCGAGAGGCUGAACCAGCCAAGUCGCGUGAGGGAAGACGGCCCUACGGGUUGUAAACCUCUUUUGUCGGGGAGCAAAGCGAACCACGUGUGGUUCAUUGAGAGUACCCGAAGAAAAAGCAUCGGCAAACUCCGUGCCAGCAGCCGCGGUAAUACGGGGGAUGCGAGCGUUAUCCGGAUUUAUUGGGUUUAAAGGGUGCGCAGGCGGAGGUGCAAGUCAGCGUGCAAAUUGCGGGGCUCAACCCCGUACUGCCGUUGAAACUGCAUCCCUUGAGUGCGGGAGAGGUAUGCGGAAUGCGUGGUGUAGCGGUGAAAUGCAUAGAUAUCACGAAGAACUCCGAUUGCGAAGGCAGCAUACCGGCGCGCAACUGACGCUGAUGCACGAAAGCGUGGGUAUCGAACAGGAUUAGAUACCCGGGUAGUC